rnacentral:rRNA from 1 species
GACGAAGGGGGCUAGCGUUGUUCGGAAUUACUGGGCGUAAAGCGCGUGUAGGCGGUUGUUCAAGUCAGGUGUGAAAGCCUUGAGCUCAACUCAAGAAAUGCACUCGAUACUGGAUGACUAGAGGACCGGAGAGGAUAGUGGAAUUCCCAGUGUAGUGGUGAAAUACGUAGAGAUUGGGAAGAACACCAGUGGCGAAGGCGGCUAUCUGGACGGUUUCUGACGCUAAGACGCGAAAGCGUGGGGAGCAAACAGG